rnacentral:ncRNA from 2 species
CGUUCACAAGGUGAUGGUGUUCCACCUUUCCCAACCGCCGCGUUCGCUCGAACCGGAUGAUGACGCCUGAUAUACA